AUUGAACGCUGGCGGCAGGCCUAACACAUGCAAGUCGAGCGAGUGGCGGACGGGUGAGUAAUGUCUGGGGAUCUGCCUGAUGGAGGGGGAUAACUACUGGAAACGGUAGCUAAUACCGCAUACCAUCAGAUGCACCCAUAUGGGAUUAGCUUGUAGGUGGGGUAACGGCUCACCUAGGCGACGAUCCCUAGCUGGUCUGAGAGGAUGAUCAGCCAAACUGGGACUGAGACACGGACCAGACUCCUACGGGAGGCAGCAGUGGGGAAUAUUGCACAAUGGGCGCAAGCCUGAUACAGCCAUGCCGCGUGUAUGAAGAAGGCCUUCGGGUUGUAAAGUACUUUCAGCGGGGAGGCGUUACCCGCAGAAGAAGCACCGGCUAACUCCGUGCCAGCAGCCGCGGUAAUAC
rnacentral:rRNA from 1 species